rnacentral:lncRNA from 1 species
AUGAAGAAGGAGGAAGGAAGGAGGAGGAAGAAGGAAGAAGAAGGAAGAAGAAGAAGAAGAAAGAACAACUCCCUUCUGUUACCACCAGGAACACACUCCACUCCUGGGCAACUGUCAAAUGGGAAUCAAGGACCUAUGGUGAACCUUGGGCAAUUAUGGACAGACGGAUGGAGCCAGCCCGGGCCACAGAAGAACCUAAAGCAGACACAGCACAGCUGACUCCUUCACCCUCCUCUAGACCUCAUGGAAGCAUGGAGUGCACAGUGCCUGUACGAUGGGUUACUAUUUUGUAAUUCCCAUCUUUGCUUCAUUACCUCAUGUCUGCUGCUUUGACCAUAAACACAGACCAAAUGCCAAGACACAGACUACUGUCACCAGGAAACCCAACUGCUUGUACCAGACUCACCUUUAGGCUUUUGGACUGUUUGCUGUGUUGACUUAAAGAUGGCAGGGGACAAAAACAACACAUGGCACUGUGCUCAUGGAUUCCUCUUUGGUGAGGUCUUAAAACCCAGGGAACAGGGGCCUGGAGAGAUGGCUCAGAGGUUAAAAGCACUGACUGCUCUACCAGAGAUCCUGAGUUCAAUUCCCAACAACCACACGGUGGCUCACAACCAUCUAUAAUGAGAUCUGGUGCCCUCUCCCGGCCCACAGGCAAACAUGCAGGCAGAACAUUGUAUACAUAAUAUAUAAAAUCUUAAAAAAAAAAAAAAAACAGGAACCCAGGGCCAACCUGUCUCCCUUAUUACAGCUAACUGGCAUGAUCAUCCACUCCCAAUCCCACCCCCAGUGAAUGUACAUCUCCUCUUUUUCCUUCAUUCCUCUGCUCAAGGUCCUGUGAGCUAAGGAGAGUAACACAAGUAUUCCAGAAGUGCAGAGUACAGGCUUCUCUUCAUUAUGAAUCUCUUUGCAGCAGGAAAAGAAAGAAAAGGCGUUGAUUGUCUCCACUUGCACAUAACUUGUGACACAAAAAGAUCCCUGUCAAAUAAUCCUCCCUUAAUACGUUCCCUUUGCCAUUGUAAACUGAGACAUGACCUCCAAGCAUUAAUACCCAGACAAUACAACAUUUGUGUGCUGUUUAAUUAGCUUAUUACUUUUGUUAAUGUACAUUCCUGUGGUUGCUCUACUCUCCGCUCAACCUGAAAUAAAAACUACAUGGGAUUAAAAACUGUUUUUACC